UACAGAGGGGGCAAGCGUUGUCCGGACUUACUGGGUGUAAAGCGCACGUAGGCGGCUCGGCAAGUCGGAUGUGAAAUCCCUCGGCCCAACCAAGGAAGUGCAUCCGAAACUGCUAAGCUUGAGUACUUAAGAGGAUCGCGGAAUUCCCGGUGUAGAGGUGAAAUUCGUAGAUAUCGGGAGGAACACCAGUGGCGAAGGCGGCUCUCUAGUACGGUACUGACGCUGAGACGCGAAAGCGUGGGGAGCGAACAGG
rnacentral:rRNA from 1 species